rnacentral:rRNA from 1 species
CCUACGGGAGGCAGCAGUAGGGAAUAUUGCUCAAUGGGGGAAACCCUGAAGCAGCAACGCCGCGUGUAGGAUGAAGGUUUUAGGAUUGUAAACUCCUUUUGGUAGAGAAGAUUAUGACGGUAUCUAACGAAUAAGCACCGGCUAACUCCGUGCCAGCAGCCGCGGUAAUACGGAGGGUGCAAGCGUUACUCGGAAUGACUGGGCGUAAAGAGUGCGUAGGCGGGCUAAUAAGUCAGAUGUGAAAUCCUGUGGCUUAACUACGGAACUGCAUUUGAAACUGGUAGUCUGGAGUGGGGGAGAGGGAGGUGGAAUUCUUGGUGGAGGGGUAAAAUGCGUAGAGAUCAAGAGGAAUACUCAUUGCGAAGGCGACCUGCUGGAACAUUACUGACGCUGAUGCACGAAAGCGUGGGGAGCAAACAGGAUUAGAUACCCCGGUAGUC